AUGAACGCUGGCGGCGUGCCUAAUACAUGCAAGUCGAGCGAACGGACGAGAAGCUUGCUUCUCUGAUGUUAGCGGCGGACGGGUGAGUAACACGUGGAUAACCUACCUAUAAGACUGGGAUAACUUCGGGAAACCGUAGCUAAUACCGGAUAAUAUUUUGAACCGCAUGGUUCAAAAGUGAAAGACGGUCUUGCUGUCACUUAUAGAUGGAUCCGCGCUGCAUUAGCUAGUUGGUAAGGUAACGGCUUACCUAGGCAACGAUGCAUAGCCGACCUGAGAGGGUGAUCGGCCACACUGGAACUGAGACACGGUCCAGACUCCUACGGGAGGCAGCAGUAGGGAAUCUUCCGCAAUGGGCGAAAGCCUGACGGAGCAACGCCGCGUGAGUGAUGAAGGUCUUCGGAUCGUAAAACUCUGUUAUUAGGGAAGAACAUAUGUGUAAGUAACUGUGCACAUCUUGACGGUACCCAAUCAGAAAGCCACGGCUAACUACGUG
rnacentral:rRNA from 1 species